rnacentral:rRNA from 1 species
AUUGAACGCUGGCGGCAGGCCUAACACAUGCAAGUCGAACGAGUGGCGGACGGGUGAGUAAUGUCUGGGAAACUGCCUGAUGGAGGGGGAUAACUACUGGAAACGGUAGCUAAUACCGCAUACCAUCGGAUGUGCCCAGAUGGGAUUAGCUAGUAGGUGGGGUAAAGGCUCACCUAGGCGACGAUCCCUAGCUGGUCUGAGAGGAUGACCAGCCCCACUUGGAAUUGGGAACGGUCCAGACUCCUGAGGGAGGCAGCAGGGGGGAAACUUGGAACAAGGGCGGAAGCCUGAUGCAACCAUGCCGCGUGUAUGAAGAAGGCCUUCGGGUUGUAAAGUAAUUUCAGCGGGGAAGCGUUACCCGCAGAAGAAGCACCGGCUAACUCCGUGCCAGCAGCCGCGGUAAUAC